rnacentral:rRNA from 3 species
CGACUGCGGAGGACAUUA